rnacentral:rRNA from 1 species
AAUAGAUACCCCGGUAGUCCACGCCGUAAACGAUGGAUGCUAGCUAUUGGGGGGAAUCGACCCCCUCCGAAGCGAAGCUAACGCGUUAAGCAUCCCGCCUGAGUAGUACGAGCGCAAGCUUAAAACUCAAAGGAAUUGACGGGGACCCGCACAAGCGGUGGAGCGUGUGGUUUAAUUCGAUGGUAAACGAAGAACCUUACCAAGGUUUGACAUCCUGGUAGCCGUUCUCCGAAAGGAGAAUUUCAUUUAGUUGGACCGGUGACAGGUGAUGCAUGGCCGUCGUCAGCUCGUGUCGUGAGAUGUUGGGUUAAGUCCCGCAACGAGCGCAACCCUUAUGAUUUAGUUGGAUUUUUCUAAACAGACUGCCCUGGUAACAGGGAGGAAGGAGGGGAUGAUGUCAGGUCAGUAUUUCCCUUACACCUUGGGCGACACACGCGCUACAAUGGCCGGUACAAUGGGCAGCUAAGCCGCGAGGUGGAGCAAAUCCCAUCAAAGCCGGUCCCAGUUCGGAUUGCAGGCUGAAACCCGCCUGCAUGAAGCCGGAAUCGCUAGUAACCG